rnacentral:rRNA from 1 species
UAGGGAAUCUUCCGCAAUGGGCGAAAGCCUGACGGAGCAACGCCGCGUGAGUGAUGAAGGUCUUCGGAUCGUAAAACUCUGUUAUUAGGGAAGAACAAAUGUGUAAGUAACUAUGCACGUCUUGACGGUACCUAAUCAGAAAGCCACGGCUAACUACGUGCCAGCAGCCGCGGUAAUACGUAGGUGGCAAGCGUUAUCCGGAAUUAUUGGGCGUAAAGCGCGCGUAGGCGGUUUUUUAAGUCUGAUGUGAAAGCCCACGGCUCAACCGUGGAGGGUCAUUGGAAACUGGAAAACUUGAGUGCAGAAGAGGAAAGUGGAAUUCCAUGUGUAGCGGUGAAAUGCGCAGAGAUAUGGAGGAACACUAGUGGCGAAGGCGACUUUCUGGUCUGUAACUGACGCUGAUGUGCGAAAGCGUGGGGAUCAAACAGG